AUGGCCGGCGCGGGAUCCUCGUCGGGCGGGUCGGGCGGCGGCGGGGGCCGGGAGGGCGACUGGGACUGCGGCGGCUGCGGCAACCGCAACUACGCCUUCCGCUCCCUGUGCAACCGCUGCAAGCAGCCGCGCCUCCUCGUCGACCCCAACACCCCGCGCGACUCCAAGUGGCUCCCCCGCGCCGGCGACUGGAUCUGCAACGGUUGCAGUAACAAUAAUUAUGCAUCCAGAAAGAACUGCAAGAAGUGCAACCUGCCCAAGGAGGAAGCAGCGAUGCCGCAGUUAUCAAUGGGAGGAAUGAUGCCAGCCUAUGCAGAUUAUAUGGCCAGGGUACAGGAGAUUGCCAAUGCUGGGUAUAAGAUGAACUUUGGCAAUCCAGCUAUGCAGCAGCAGCUACUUGCAAAUGCAAACUGGCCCUAUGGGAUGGCUGGUAGAUAUGGUAUGCAGUCGUCUGCUUGGCCAUUCGCCGGCAACAGCACAAAUCAGUUUCAAGGUGUUCCAAAGGACUGGCGUAGUGGUGACUGGCUCUGCAGCUGUGGAUUCCAUAACUACUCAUCUCGUGCUCAGUGCAAAGAGUGUAAUGCACCUGUCCCAUCAGGCAUGGCCUCUACAACCAUGAAAUCCACAGGAGCAGAUAGUUCUUCAACAUUAGGUAAUAAGCGCUUGGCAUCAGAGGAGCUUGCCAAUGACUGGGAUAAUAAAAGGCUAAAUCCUGGACAUGCUAAUUAUCCACUUUCAGCAGCAGGCUCAGAUAAUUUAUUUAUGGGUCAAGGUGCUGGAAACAAUAAUGGCCAGACAACUUAUUCUGCAUAUGACAAUGGAAACUCAAUGGCAUCUGGACAAAUUCCAGGGAUGUCUGGUGUAGUUGGCAAAGGAGCUAAAUGGCGUGAAGGAGACUGGUUGUGCACCAACUGCAGCAAUCAUAAUUACGCAUCUCGUGCAUUUUGUAACAGAUGCAAAACUGCGAAAGAGUCUUCAGUUCAUCCGGGGGCGCUAUAA
rnacentral:rRNA from 1 species